rnacentral:lncRNA from 1 species
UAAAGUGUAUUCAUGUCAAAGCAAUUAGAACAUAGCUUUUAUCUCUGUUAUAAUAUAGUAAAUCAUCUGUAACUGUAAGCAUAAUUUUGAUCCUAGCACAAAAUAGGUAUCAACCAAUCUAUUAUUAUAUAUAUACACACAAUAAAAAAAAUCUGCUAUGACAAAAUUAAUUCUUUAAAAAAAUUGGUUUCCUGAAUAAAGCAAAAGGUAUGAACUACAUAGUAGUAUAGUAUAGCAUUAUAGUACUCCAUGAGAGCCUGAAAUC